AGUGAACGCUGGCGGUAGGCCUAACACAUGCAAGUCGAACGGCAGCACAGUAAGAGCUUGCUCUUACGGGUGGCGAGUGGCGGACGGGUGAGGAAUACAUCGGAAUCUACUUUUUCGAGGGGGAUAACGUAGGGAAACUUACGCUAAUACCACAUACGACCUACGGGUGAAAGCAGGGGAUCUUCGGACCUUGCGCGAUUGAAUGAGCCGAUGUCGGAUUAGCUAGUUGGCGGGGUAAAGGCCCACCAAGGCGACGAUCCGUAGCUGGUCUGAGAGGAUGAUCAGCCACACUGGAACUGAGACACGGUCCAGACUCCUACGGGAGGCAGCAGUGGGGAAUAUUGGACAAUGGGCGCAAGCCUGAUCCAGCCAUACCGCGUGGGUGAAGAAGGCCUUCGGGUUGUAAAGCCCUUUUGUUUGAAAAGAAAAGCAGCAGGUUAAUACCCCGCUGUUCUGACGGUACCCAAAGAAUAAGCACCGGCUAACUUCGUG
rnacentral:rRNA from 1 species